rnacentral:misc_RNA from 1 species
GACCUAUUGACAAUCUUGUGGUUCCUCAUGUACCAAACAAUUGAAAAUGAACUUCCUAAAAAUAUUAGCUUCAUGGUAGUAUUGUAGAGGGAAAUGAAAUCUGUAAAUAUAUCCAAAUAGCGAGCAGCGAAAACAAUAGCAUAGAGUUCUUGAGUCUUCAAAGAAAUUCCAGCGCAGGAUUUGAUGGUGUGGAUCUUGAGGAGCAAUACGAGAACGCUGACAAGGUGAGUCAUAUCACCUGCUAAUCUGAAUAUAUUCAUCUUCUUCGAGAUUCGAUCUACUAAUCUCUCAAAGGCAAAAAAAUUGAAUGAAAUGGAUAAAACUAUUCCCGAAUCUCUAAGAAAUUCAGCUUGAGUUCAGCUUCCUUGUUCGCAGUUUAGCAGAGAAGCAGAAAG